rnacentral:rRNA from 1 species
GUGGGGAAUUUUGGACAAUGGGCGCAAGCCUGAUCCAGCAAUGCCGCGUGCAGGAAGAAGGCCUUCGGGUUGUAAACUGCUUUUGUACGGAACGAAAAGGCUCUGGUUAAUACCUGGGGCUCAUGACGGUACCGUAAGAAUAAGCACCGGCUAACUACGUGCCAGCAGCCGCGGUAAUACGUAGGGUGCAAGCGUUAAUCGGAAUUACUGGGCGUAAAGCGUGCGCAGGCGGUUUUGUAAGACAGACGUGAAAUCCCCGGGCUCAACCUGGGAAUGGCGUUUGUGACUGCAAAGCUGGAGUGCGGCAGAGGGGGAUGGAAUUCCGCGUGUAGCAGUGAAAUGCAUAGAUAUGCGGAGGAACACCGAUGGCGAAGGCAAUCCCCUGGGCCUGCACUGACGCUCAUGCACGAAAGCGUGGGGAGCAAACAGGAUUAGAAACCCUGGUAGUCC